rnacentral:lncRNA from 1 species
UGGUGCCCUUCCCUGGAAACGAAACCUACGUUUCUUCAUCCACACGCAUAAACUACGUUUGGCGAUGUUGUCAUAGAGAUUAACAAGAGCUACGGUUUGGUAAAACGACUUCGUAAGCAAAGAUAAAGAGCUGUUCCCUUCACUUGGGGAAGAUUCGCGAUGAAAGUGGCCAUUCAUGGGCCUGGAGCAGACAUCAGCCAUCUCCUUCUCAGUGUGGCUGCGAGUCCCCCUCAAGGAGGAAUACUAACAAACAGCAUCCUGAUUAACUGCAAAGUGGAAGACACUGCCAUUACAAGGAAGGAACAAAACAUAAAUGGCUACUCAUUAUGCCUGUGUAACAUGGAUCUACAAGUACCCACUAAUAGAAAAGAACAUGAAACAGCAGGAAUAGAGGCCGGAAACUGCAGACAAAAAUUAUCAUCACUGUCUACCUGGAGAACCCAUGAGGAAAUAUUAGAACAAACAGGCUUCAAUGAGGUAAGUGGUUGUAAAUUUAGUUUGCAGAAGUCAAUAAUGUGUCUAUAACCACCUGGGAAAGACAUGUUUUCUAACAGCCAUAAAUGUGCAAGCCUAAAAGGAACUUAUCAAAAAAUGAC